rnacentral:rRNA from 1 species
UACAGGGGUCUCAAGCGUUGUUCGGAAUUACUGGGCGUAAAGGGUGCGCAGGCCGCGCGGGCAGUCAAAUGUGUAAUUCAGGGGCUCAACCCCUGCACUGCGCUUGAUACUUCCGCGCUCGAGCUUUGGAGAGGAGUCUGGAAUUCUCGGUGUAGCAGUGAAAUGCGUGGAUAUCGAGAAGAACACUUAGGGCGUAGGCAAGACUCUGGACAAAUGCUGACGCUCAUGCACGAAGGCUAGGGUAGCGAACGGA